UGAAGGAGUGUAGGGGGAUGCCCCCAAUGAGAGAGGGACAAACUAGCCUUUGUCCCCCAAAAAAGGAAGAAAGCCCAGAAGUUUCUCCCAACGAUCAGGUGAAAAGCCACCUUAUAGGACCCCAGAGACUUCACUAAAACCUUGGGGUCACCUAAUUGGAUGAGAGCCAAAAGAUCCCGCCUGGGCCAUCAGGUAGAAAAAGAGAAGACAAAAAAACUGCGAGGCUUUUGUGAAGGUGUUUUACCAGGAGCAGACCUCUGUACCUGGAUCGGAUUUUCUGUUUAUUGUUUUUCCUUUUAUUAAACAGUUUGGUUUCCAACACUGCAGCAGAAGCCAUCCUGCUCAUUAUUUGCCUCCAAAGGUAAUAGCUGAGCUAUCCUUUGUGUGUAUUAAGUUUUCUUUUAAAGGCUCAUAAAACCCUGGCCCGACGAAACAAAACUUAAUACGUGGCGCCCGAACAGGGACAGAAUUUCUCAUAUUGAGGAAGAUGGUCUAGGAAUUUUUGAUUACCUCAAUCAAAAUAGGACAAUUUUCCUUGGUAUUUGCGUUUUUGGGGAAGCAGGCCUGCACCUGAGUUUUUUGUCGCGUUAAAAAAGAAAACUCAGAAGAAGAGAUUUGGGGUUUAGAGGGAAUCCCAAAUCGAAGCCUCAUACCGGUGAAGAAGAGGCUAUAAUUCAGACGGGACGGGAGCACACGGCACACACCCUCAGAGGAUACUGUGAAUCGGCUAAGCUGAAACUGUUGCACCCAGGACCCGGGAAAAAGUCUAUACCAAGAAGGACGACCAGAAGACUCGGUCCGGGACCCAGGGCUACAUGGCAACAAAUCAACUUUGCUGAGUUAAAAGAGAUUUGCAAAGCCUCUCGUCUGUAUGGUAGAGAUUCUACCUAUUUCAGAAGCCUAUUACAGGCCACCUUCACAGCAAACAUAUUCACUCCACAUGAUCUAAAACAGCUUUGCACAUCCCUGCUAUCUCCAACAGAAUUUUCUUUGUGGGAACUAGCAUGGAAACGUUUGUUAAACGACCUUUUAAGAGGUUAUGCAGGAACUCCAGCUACUGCAAAUUUGACUAUAGAUCAGCUCUCAGGUGAAGGAGCUCAUACAGAUCCUCAAAUACAAGCCCGAACUCUUAGUAGACAAGUAUUGCAGGAUGUCAAAGAAGCAGCAAAAACAGCUUUGUUACAGGUCCCUGAUGGCAACAAGCCAGAACUAGAUUUCACAGAAAUAAAACAGGGCAUAGAUGAGCCUUAUAUUAAGUUUUUGGACCGUUUAAAAAUGGCAUUAGAAAAGCAGAUUCCAAUAGACCGAGCCAGACAAGAGUUAUUAAAACGGCUUGCAAUUUCUAAUGCAAACCCAACCUGUAAAAAGGCAUUACGUACAUUACCACAGGAUCCUGAGCCCACCCUGACACAGCUAGUAGAUGCUUGCAACCGCCUGAGCACCCCUGAGCAUGCAGCAGCCAUGCAGGCAGAAGUAUUGGCCAGUGCCAUCACAACAGCUCAAGAAAACACCCUAAAGCAGCAGGAAAAAGCAGUAGAAAGGCAAACACAAACCCUAGCAGAAGCUUUAAUAGCAUUCAAAGGUGCAAUUGAGAACCAACAAAUUCCAAGGGACUCGUGCCAUUCGUGUGGUCAGAGAGGUCAUUUUAAAAGGGGAUGUCCUAGGACCCGCAGAAGGCCAUUGCCAAGAAACAGUGGAUGCAGAGGUUUCUGUCACAAUACUAACAGCUUUUACCCAGCACAGGGUUUUUCGUGCCAUCUGCCGGGAAACGUGCAGCCCAGCACGGAGCAGUGGCGUGCAAUGAUACAAAAACCACUGCACCAGAGGCCAGAGACCACCACAGGCCACCAAGUUCAGAACUGCAACACAUCCUUGCAGGACUUCCAACCACAAUGUCCCCAGGUGCCAGACUGGAGCUGUCUACAGCCCAGCCAGUGAUGCUAACCAAUGCUGUUGCUCACACAGUGUCUACAGGACAGCUGGGACCUGAACCACAACCACGUCAGUUCUUAAUAGUGGGAGUGAGCAGAUCCCAUGCAGAAGGUUUUUAUGUCAUUCCAACUGUGCUGUCUGUCACCUGUUCACAGGAAAUUACAGUCUUAGCUUUGUGUCUAGACCCUCCAUGUUUUUUACCCAAAGGGUUAACCAUAGCGCAAGCUUUCCUCCUACCAGAGUCACAGAACAACACAGCUGUCAUCGCUUGGACCAGGCACAUCAGCCGCGGGCGGCCUCAGCUCACCUGUGUCCUGAAGCACCUCGGGCAAGCCAUCACCCUCACUGGCCUGAUAGAUACUGGAGCAGACGUCACUCUGAUAUCGAGAUCGAAAUGGCCACAGGACUGGACCAUCGUGCCUACGCUGGAUCAGCUGGCAGGUAUUGGUGGUCACUGUGAGAGCUUUCGAAGCUCGCACGCAGUCACAUUUGAGGGGCCUGAAGGUCGUGUUGCCACCACAAGACCAUUCAUUGUAGGAGCUGAUAUAGUUCUUUGGGGACGGGACAUUUUAUCACAAUGGCAUCUCAGGUUAGAAACUGGAUUUUAACAAGAUAUCUUAGUAGCAGCAAAGGACCAAGCAUCAAUGCAGGAGACAACAGAUCAGGUCAUCUCAGCAGUAGAGAAAGCAGGACUCACUGUAGCAAAAGAAAAAAUACAGACACUUCCUCCCUGGAAAUAUUUAGGAUACAGGAUCACAGAACAAACGGUAACUCCGCAGCCACUCCAGCUAAGGACAAAUCCAAAGACCUUGAAUGAAGUGCAGCAGCUUGUAGGCACUCUGAACUGGCUUCGUCCACUACUAGGCCUUUCAAAUCAGGACUUGGCUCCUCUGGCAGAUUUGUUAAGAGGAGACACAGCCUUAAACUCACCGCGAGAAUUCAACAAAGAAGCUCAAAAUGCUUUAGAGAAAGUGAUGAGAGCCAUCCAGUCACGUCAGGCUCAUCGGUAUAAUCCUAACCUGUCUUUUUUGUUUGCAGUUUUAGGGGAGAGUCCACAACUUCAUGGUUUGAUAUUCCAGUGGGAUCUAGAGAAGAAGGACCAUCUGAUAAUCUUAGAGUGGGUUUUCCUAUCGCGUCAAUUGGGUAAAACUAUAACAACUUGCCCUGAAAUUAUUUCACAAUUGAUUAUCAAGGCUAGAUCUCGAAUGCUUUCCCUUGCAGGAAGAGAUUUUGCAGAAAUCUUUCUGCCUGUCACAACCAUCUACUUAGAAUGGUUAAUUCAAAAUUCAGAAGUUAUGCAAUUUGCUUUGGAAAAUUUUGCAGGAAAAAUUUCAGUCAAUUGUCCCAAACAUGAGCUAUUAAGUUCAUCUUUAAAAUUAAUUCAUAAGCCUUUAAGAAGUAAUGUACCCCUUGAGGCAAUCACAUUUUUUACAGACGGUUCUGGGAAGUCUAAAAAAUCUGUGAUUGCUUGGCAAAAUUCAGAGACAAAAAAAUGGGAAUCAGAUAUUGAGGAAGUAGAUGGUUCUGCACAGAUUACAGAGUUGGCAGCAGUUGUACGGGUCUUUUCAAAAUUCACAUUUCCUUUUAAUUUAGUAACAGAUUCAAUUUACGUUGCAGGUGUGGUGGAAAGAGCAGAAGGAUCUCUGCUAAAAGAAGUUGCUAAUGAUCAGUUAUAUAGUUUGCUCAAACAGUUAAUCUUACUUCUUUCCAUUCGACAAGAACCUUACUUUGUAAUGCACAUUCGCUCACAUUCUUCUCUUCCAGGUUUCUUAGCAGAGGGAAAUGCCAUGGCUGAUUUGUUAGCCAUGCCAAUCCAGCACACACUUCCUAAUGUUAUUGAACAAGCAAGAAUGAGCCAUGCUUUCUAUCACCAAAAUGCACCUGCUUUAGUAAGAAUGUUUAACAUCUCUCAGAAUCAGGCAAAAGCAAUUGUUCAGUCAUGUCCAGAUUGCCAGAAAUUAGCUAUACCAGCAAUAGCAACAGGAGUUAACCCUCGAGGCUUAAAUAGCCUGCAGAUAUGGCAAACAGACAUCACUCAAUAUCAGUCAUUUGCAAGGUUCAAACAUAUACAUGUAUCAAUAGAUACCUUCUCAGGAGCAAUUUUUGCUUCUGCACAUCAAGGAGAAAAAAGUAGAGAUGUGAUUAAACAUUUCUUACAAGCAUUUGCAUCCCUAGGUAUUCCUCAAGAAGUCAAAACUGACAACGGACCAACCUACAUUUCUAAUAAAUUGCAAGAGUUUUUCAAAACUUGGGGUAUCAAACAUACCACAGGUAUUCCACAUUCUUCCACAGGCCAGUCUAUUGUAGAAAGAGCACACAGGUCAUUGAAAAUGAUACUAGAAAGACAAAAAGGGGGGACAGAAGUGCUUUCUACAAUAGAGAGGCUGAAUAAAGCUGUAUAUGUUUUUAACUUCUUAAACAAUUCCUUUAUGGAGCAGGUACCACCAAUUUUCAGGCAUUUCAGCAAUACCAGUCAGGCAAAGCUCAAGGAAAGACCACCAGUCUUCAUCAAGGAUCCAGAGACAGGACAGAUUUCAGGACCCCAUCCUCUUGUAACAUGGGGCCGGGGGUUUGCAUGCAUUUCUACAAACACAGGUCUUCGAUGGAUCCCUGCAAAGAAUGUCAAGCCACAAGUGCAGCCGAUCCGAGAGCAGCAGACGGCACCAGAAGAAGAAUGCACAAACAACUGAGCCACGGAUAGAAGCAAAGACUGUUUUCUAAGUUUGCAUUAGUUAAAAUUGUUUACAAGAAAGUUUUGCACUGAAAAAGUUUUGUAGUUAUUGUUGUGAUAAAAAAGUUGUUAAACCUACCUCUAUGUAAAAGUCACACAUAUAACCAGAAAUUUGAAGCUUACCGGGAAAAACACUUCACCAAAGUUAAGAUAGAGAAUUGGCAGCAAAAAUUAUUGGCAUUCUAAUCUAUACUCCCUUCUCCUCUUUCUUUCUAAAUGUAUAGUAAAGGGUGAGAUGAAGGAGUGUAGGGGGAUGCCCCCAAUGAGAGAGGGACAAACUAGCCUUUGUCCCCCAAAAAAGGAAGAAAGCCCAGAAGUUUCUCCCAACGAUCAGGUGAAAAGCCACCUUAUAGGACCCCAGAGACUUCACUAAAACCUUGGGGUCACCUAAUUGGAUGAGAGCCAAAAGAUCCCGCCUGGGCCAUCAGGUAGAAAAAGAGAAGACAAAAAAACUGCGAGGCUUUUGUGAAGGUGUUUUACCAGGAGCAGACCUCUGUACCUGGAUCGGAUUUUCUGUUUAUUGUUUUUCCUUUUAUUAAACAGUUUGGUUUCCAACACUGCA